UUUCUCUCUCGUCUUUUCCAGUUUUCAAGCGAUAGGCUCUUCACCUGCUCUCUCUCCUUUUUGGAGAAAAUAUUCGCUUGUUUCUCACUGCAUCAACAAGAAGACGGCAUUUUUCUUCCUCCAUCUUCUCCAGAAAAUCGAAUGUUGGAGCGAUUUCCAUCAACGCGGAUCAAGCAACAAGCGUAACCUCGGACGACUGGCGCACGGGGAUUGGGAGAUUAUUUGCAGUCUCCAAAAAGAAUGGGGUGCACGCUAUGUUGAAGAACUGGGCGAAUGGAUGAAGGGCUGUUUGGAAAACCACCCAUGUUUGAGGCACUGACGGAGGAAGAACUCGUGAACAAUCCGGUGGUGAAGAUAUUGACCAGCGACCGAGGAAGGCCAAAAUGUUGCCGGAAAUGGUGGGUGGACAUUUCAAGCAGUGUGCUGACGCAUUGCUCCAUCUCUAUGAUAGAAAUCAACUAAUGGCUUUAUGUUUGUGUACCAGUAGUAAUUUUUUGGGACCAUUCUAAGUGAACUUUCAUGCAUUUUUUGGGAUCCUUUGAAAGAUUGAGAUAUUCUUUAUAAUGCAAAAGAGAAAUUGCAUACC